rnacentral:rRNA from 1 species
GUCUAUGGCCAUGCCACCCUGAACAAGCCCAAUGUCUGAUCUCGGAAGCUAAGCAGGGUCGGGCCUGGUUAGUACUUGGAUGGGAGACCAGGUGCUGUAGGCA